rnacentral:siRNA from 1 species
AGCGGAUGCCCUCACCAAACCUCU